rnacentral:rRNA from 1 species
UACGUAGGGUGCGAGCGUUGUCCGGAAUUACUGGGCGUAAAGAGCUCGUAGGUGGUUUGUCACGUCGUAUGUGAAAUCCCGGGGCUUAACUCCGGGCGUGCAGGCGAUACGGGCAUAACUUGAGUACUGUAGGGGAGAGUGGAAUUCCUGGUGUAGCGGUGAAAGGCGUAGAGAUCUGGAGGAACACCGGUGGCGAAGGCGGGUCUCUGGGCAGUAACUGACGCUGAGGAGCGAAAGCGUGGGGAGCGAACAGG